rnacentral:lncRNA from 1 species
CCUGUAAAAUCCAAAAAGCAGAUCUCAGUGUACAGAUUCUGAUGGUGUUUGUAAAGCUUAGAUGGACCACCAACAUUUUCUUUAUGCCUACUCUUUAUGAGCUUGGUGUUAGAAGAGGCUAAAUAUAUUGUCAAAUAUAUGUAAAGAUCAGAAAGCACAGCUUGAAAUGCAUACAUAAGGCUAAAGGGUGUGAAGUAUUUUCCAAAUUCAAGGUGUAAGAAGAAAAUGUUGGAGAAACAAACUAAGUAGUUGGAUCAACUAAGCAGAUGUGAGUCACAAAUGGGAUAUCUGGAACUAACUUUCAGGAAGACACGUCAGUUUCAGGUCACAAAUGGGAUAUCUGGAACUAACUUUCAGGAAGACACGUCAGUUUCAGGCACAGCAUAUGCAGAAGAUAUGUGAUUCAACUUCUUGAAAACAAGACUAUGGGGUUUCCUGCCCUCUUGCUGACAAAGGUGCGACUGAUUUUUAGAGUUCUCUGUAUCUAACCCCAUAACUAGUUAAUGUUAUUGAUGAGUUCCAAAUGAAGACUGAUCUGUAUACAUUUUAGGGGUGGAGUGGGUGAAGAGAGAAAAAGAUGGAUCGCAAUGAAAUAGAGC